rnacentral:rRNA from 1 species
UACAGAGGGUGCAAGCGUUGUUCGGAAUUACUGGGCGUAAAGGGCGUGUAGGCGGCUUAGUAAGUCAGAUGUGAAAGCCCGGGGCUUAACCUCGGAAGUGCAUUUGAAACUGCUAGGCUAGAGUGAGGUAGAGGUUGGUGGAAUUCCCAGUGUAGAGGUGAAAUUCGUAGAUAUUGGGAGGAACACCGGUGGCGAAAGCGGCCAACUGGGCCUUAACUGACGCUGAGGCGCGAAAGCGUGGGGAGCAAACAGG